AUGAUGCCCUUAAAGAUGAACUCGCUCGCAUUGAGCUUCCUAGGUCCUUGGAAGGACUAAUCACACUAAGCAUUCAGAUUGAUAGAAGGUUGAGAGAACGCAAAUCAGAAAAACAAGGUAUGGAUACUAUCACAAGACCCUCUACUACUUACCAAAAACCUACAGUCACUCAAACCUCAGAACCUAUGGAUUUGGGAUUCACUAGAGGCCCUUUACAACCAGAAGAAAGGAAUCGCAGACGCAUAAACAACCUCUGCAUGUAUUGUGCUUCAAAUGCACAUACUGUAAGAGAGUGUCCUAUCUUACAAAGGCAGAAGAAACUGGGAUCUACACCAGCAAAUCAGUGAAGCCAUCAUCGACUCUGGGGCACAUUCUUCCUAUAUUGAUUCUGUUUUUGUCACUAUAAAUAAAAUACCCACUGUGUUGAAAGCAA